UUUAAAGUCUAAUCUGCCCUAUGAGGGAUUAAAUGGCCGCGGUAUUUUGACCGUGCAAAGGUAGCAUAAUAAUUAGUUUUUUAAUUGAAAGCUGGAAUGAAUGAUUGGACGAGAAAAUAGUUGUCUCAAUUUAAUUUUUUUAGAAUUUUAUUUUUAAGUAAAAAAGCUUAAAUUUUUUUAAAAGACGAGAAGACCCUAUAGAGUUUUAUAUAUAAUUAGGUAUAAUUUUUAUGGGGAUUCUAUAUUUAUAUCUAAUUUUAUAUUUUGUUGGGGUGAUGGAAAAAUUUAAUAAACUUUUUUUAUAAAAAAAACAUUAAUUUAUGAUUAAAUGAUCCAAAUAUAUUGAUUAUAAGAUUAAAUUACCUUAGGGAUAACAGCGUAAUUUUUUUUUAGAGUUCUUAUCGAAAGAAAAGAUUGCGACCUCGAUGUUGGAUUAAAAUUAAUUUUCGGUGUAGAAGCUGAAUGAUUGGGUCUGUUCGACCUUUAAAAUUUUACA
rnacentral:rRNA from 1 species